UACAGAGAGUGCAAACGUUGUUCGGAAUCACUGGGCUUAAAGCGCACGUAGGCGGCAUUGUAAGUGUCGGGUGAAAUCCCACGGCUCACCCGUGGAACUGCCCGGCAGACUGCAGUGCUUGAGUGUGGUAGGGGAAAGCGGAACUCCUGGUGGAGCGGUGAAAUGCGUAGAUAUCAGGAGGAACACCGGUGGCGAAGGCGGCUUUCUGGUCCACAACUGACGCUGAGGUGCGAAAGCUAGGGGAGCAAACGGG
rnacentral:rRNA from 1 species